rnacentral:rRNA from 1 species
UACGAGGGCCCCGAGCGUUAUCCGGAAUCAUUGGGCGUAAAGGGUGUGUAGGUGGUUCUGUUAGUCUUCCGUUAAAUUCUUCGGCUUAACCGGGGGCAUGCGGGGGAAACGGCAGAACUUGAGGAUGCGAGAGGUGUGUGGAACUCUAUGUGUAGGGGUGAAAUCCGUUGAUAUAUAGGGGAACACCAAAAGCGAGGGCAGCACACUGGCGCACUCCUGACACUGAAACACUAAAGCGUGGGUAGCGAAUGGG